rnacentral:rRNA from 1 species
AACGAACGCUGGCGGCAUGCCUAACACAUGCAAGUCGAACGAGACCUUCGGGUCUAGUGGCGCACGGGUGCGUAACGCGUGGGAACCUGCCCUUAGGUUCGGAAUAACUCCCCGAAAGGGGUGCUAAUACCGGAUAAUGUCUUCGGACCAAAGAUUUAUCGCCUUUGGAUGGGCCCGCGUUGGAUUAGCUAGUUGGUAGGGUAAAAGCCUUCCAAGGCGACGAUCCAUAGCUGGUCUGAGAGGAUGAUCAGCCACACUGGGACUGGGACACGGCCCAGACUCCUACGGGAGGCAGCAGUGGGGAAUAUUGGACAAUGGGCGAAAGCCUGAUCCAGCAAUGCCGCGUGAGUGAUGAAGGCCUUAGGGUUGUAAAGCUCUUUUACCCGGGAUGAUAAUGACAGUACCGGGAGAAUAAGCUCCGGCUAACUCCGUG